GGCGGCGUGCUUAACACAUGCAAGUCGAGCGGAAAGGCCCUUCGGGGGUACUCGAGCGGCGAACGGGUGAGUAACACGUGAGCAACCUGCCCCUGACUCUGGGAUAAGCCCGGGAAACUGGGUCUAAUACCGGAUGUGACGCACUCUCGCAUGGGAUGUGUGUGGAAAGUUUUUCGGUUGGGGAUGGGCUCGCGGCCUAUCAGCUUGUUGGUGGGGUGAUGGCCUACCAAGGCGACGACGGGUAACCGGCCUGAGAGGGCGACCGGUCACACUGGGACUGAGACACGGCCCAGACUCCUACGGGAGGCAGCAGUGGGGAAUAUUGCGCAAUGGGCGGAAGCCUGACGCAGCGACGCCGCGUGAGGGAUGACGGCCUUCGGGUUGUAAACCUCUUUCAGCAGGGACGAAGCUAACGUGACGGUACCUGCAGAAGAAGCGCCGGCUAACUACGUGCCAGCAGCCGCGGUAAUACGUAGGGCGCAAGCGUUGUCCGGAAUUAUUGGGCGUAAAGAGCUCGUAGGCGGUUUGUCGCGUCUGUCGUGAAAGCCCACGGCUUAACCGUGGGUCUGCGGUGGAUACGGGCAGACUAGAGGCAGGUAGGGGAGAAUGGAAUUCCCGGUGUAGCGGUGAAAUGCGCAGAUAUCGGGAGGAACACCGGUGGCGAAGGCGGUUCUCUGGGCCUGUACUGACGCUGAGGAGCGAAAGCGUGGGGAGCGAACAGGAUUAGAUACCCUGGUAGUCCACGCCGUAAACGUUGGGCGCUAGGUGUGGGGUUCUUCCACGGAUUCCGCGCCGUAGCUAACGCAUUAAGCGCCCCGCCUGGGGAGUACGGCCGC
rnacentral:rRNA from 1 species